CUUCAGAGUCUCAACUCAGGAAGACCCCCUACAAUGUGGUUCCUCUCGCUUCACGAUCUUUUGGAGUUACUGGUAGUCCUUCAAGGUUUGCACCUCCGGGUCAGCAAGGACAACCUUCAAAUCUUCCCCCAAUGUCCUUAUCUGGAACAAAUUUAGUUGCCUCCUCUCCUUCUCCUGCAGCAUCAGGCGGUACUUCAGUGUUUAGGGAUCGGUUUUCUAGCCCAUGAGAUUAGAAGUUAUGUUGGUUGUUUUUACAUGUCAAGGUGCCCUAUUCAAACUGGCUACUUAUGAAGCUAUAAAUCAUUCUGGAAUUCCAAAUAGCUCAUUUACUGGAAGGGUAAUAAUCAAGAUGCAGUGUCAAGGUCCGAUGCCUUCUAGUUGGAAGAAUAUAGUAUUGCCAUUCCUUUGGUCAGCUGUGCGUGUCCAUAUGAUUCUUAUGAAGUUGCCCUGAUUAAGGUUAGUGUAUUCUGUAGCAAGAUGAAUAUUCAGUUCUUAAAGGUGUGAUGUGAAGAAAUGAAUACCGUGUACAUAUCUAAUUAUUCCAUUUUGCUUUGAGUUAAUGGUUAAGUCUUAAAUUUCUUUUGCGUUGA